UAAUGAAGGAAGUAUGGUAAUGUGCACAUAAAUAGAAUUAGGUCUCUAGGCCUGCCCUCUCUGAUGUCAUUCGGCUUUAAUUUGGGGGUAUGGUUCCACGCAAAACAA